AGAAGCACUGAAUAAGAAGUCUGCUCUUUGUGCUGGGGUCGCCGGGCUGGUUGAGUGCAAGCCAGGAUCUAUGGGCAUCAAGAGGAUGGCUGACUGAAGAGUUGGAAAGCCAGGAAGCAAGUCCUGGUGACAUUGUUUGGUGUCCUGGAUCUGGCUGUACCUGCAACCCUGAACUUUACAGUCACCUGAGCCAACAGAUUUCCUACUUUGCUUACGCCUGUUUGAGAUGAGGAAACUCAGGAGCCCAAGGGAGUUGCACAAAGUCACCCGACUAAAUGACAGAAAUGCCUCUGCAAAGGUUUUCAGGAUUUAUGACACACAGGACAGAGAUAAAUGAGCAAUGAGGAAUUCACAAAAGAAAGGAUCCAGGAAGGAAAUAAAGCCUGGGAAAAAUGCUCGGGCUUCCUAGUAAUCCAAGACAUCCAAAUCAAAACAAGCCAUACGUACUUGAAAGCAGCCGGAGACAAUGUGGAAAUUAACGAGCAAGGCUGUGUUCCAAUAAAACUUUAUUAAUAAAAACUGGUGGUAGGCUGGAUUUGCCCCUCGGGCCCUGGUUUACCAACCCCGAGUUGUACUAUAGGCAAAUAUUAGAGAAAGAAAAUAUACCUGAAUUAGUUAGUUAUAGCGGUGUAAAAAAAAUACCCAAUUUGAGGAGCUUAAAACAACCGUUUUUAUUUCUCCCCCAUCUACGUAUAUGUUGGUUGGUCCCUCUGUAGAUGUGAGCCAGUCUUGGCUGAUUUCUGGAGGGGGGGCUGGACCUGGCUCACCUCUGCCUCAUGUGGUCACCUGUCCACGUGUGGCAUGCAGGCCUGGGGGUGCUGACGCUGGGCCCAAGUGCCCAAGGCCUCAAGGUCUAGGGUCACAGCUGACACUGUCACUUUCACCACAGCGUGUUCGGAAGCAGGUCACACGGACAGUACAGAGUCACACUCCUGGGACAUGGCCGAGGUGGGGUUGGUAGAGAGAGGGCAGCGGCACCAAAAUGCUGCUUCAGAGGGAAAGACGCCAGUGCCCCUUCCCCUGCGGAACCAGAGGCCGCCUUGGAAGUCCCCGAGCACUGUGGUUUCUGGACUGGCACUUUCAGGUCCCUGCUCCACUGACCGGCCACCGGCAACGAACCUUAAUGUGCAUCUUCCUCCCUCCUGCCAAUUGUCCUGCUUUUUCUGGUUCCUCACUUCCUUACUCGGCUUCCUUCCAAUUACUGCGAGGCCUCAAUCCUUCUUGGAAGGAAGGAACGAAAGAGCUUACAUCCAGGAGGCUAUGGUCUGCAACUCCCAGAGCAGAAAACUCCCAGAAGGGACCCAGUGCCUGCAGUGCAUUCUGGAACAGAGAAGAACCACAGAGGGUGAACAUCACCCUCUACCACCGGCUGCUGAGGGGAAAAAUGGAGGAGGGGGACCCAGCGCAGGAACUUCAGGGCCUUUCUCUGGCGGGUCUGAAGUUUCUGUACAACGGAGGGCACUUCAUCCCAGGUGCCUGG